rnacentral:rRNA from 1 species
AUUGAACGCUGGCGGCAGGCCUAACACAUGCAAGUCGAACGAGUGGCGGACGGGUGAGUAAUGUCUGGGAAACUGCCUGAUGGAGGGGGAUAACUACUGGCAACGGUAGCUAAUACCGCAUACCAUCGGAUGUGCCCCGAUGGGCUUAGCUAGUAGGUGGGGUAACGGUUAACCGAGGCGACGAUCCCUAACUGGUCUGAGAGGAUGACCAGCAACACUGGAACUGAGACACGGUCCAGCCUCCGACGGGAGGCAGCAGUGGGGAAUAUUGCACAAGGGGCGCAAGCCGGAUGCAGCCAUGCCGCGUGGGUGAAGAAGGCCUUCGGGUUGUAAAGCACUUUCAGCGGGGAGGCGUUACCCGCAGAAGAAGCACCGGCUAACUCCGUGCCAGCAGCCGCGGUAAUAC